rnacentral:lncRNA from 1 species
CUUUAAUUUACAGGGAAUUUAUUAAGAUGUAAGAUUUUUUUUCCAUAUAUUUGUAGAUAUAUGUACAAUAAUGAACAUUUCAGAGGUUUACAUUUUAACCCAAUUCAGUUUUAAGUUUGUGGGAUUUAGCAAGACAAAAAAGAGGUGUUAAAUGCUUUUAUUUAAAAAUAAAAAUGUGCUUGAUUUGAAAACUGAGGCAAAAAUAUCCAACCCACCAUAAUCCUGACCUUCAUACAUGUACAUGCGUAACACUUAUUUGCUCAUUCAUAUAAUUCUUCAAAAUUUUACUAGCAUUGUUCUUUUGUUUUGGCCAGUUACAUAAUGUAAUAUUAUCUCAUCUUGAAUGGUUCCUAAGAGAAACCUAUGGAAAGCCAAC